rnacentral:rRNA from 1 species
GUCUCCUGAAGGAACGUUAAAGACCAUGACGUUGAUAGGCCGGGUGUGUAAGCGCAGCGAUGCGUUGAGCUAACCGGUACUAAUGAACCGUGAGGCUUAACCUUACAACGCCGAAG